rnacentral:lncRNA from 1 species
AGAUUAGACUGCGAGACAACAUAAUCGUGAAGUUUAAGAAACAAAUAUUGUAUCCAAAGCAUCUUGUACUUCUUUUGAUGAAUUCGUGUAAUCUCUCCAAGUGCUAGAGGGUUUUGAUGAAACGUUGGUUGGUAAAUUAGUAUGAUAUGAUGGAAUAAGAAAGUUUUGCAUCCAUGUUUGGUGAGGUUAAUUGGUGCAAUCCCAAAAAUGUGCAUAUAAUGGCAUAGGUGCUCCAAUCAAAAUCUUCUUCCUUUGUGUUCCAGGUUGAAAUUGAGUGCAAAAUUAAUAUUUUGGUUUCGGCAGC